GCUUCACUCUUUGCUCUCGGAAGAACGCUCGCCCUCUCACAGAUCUGAUUUUUGAGCGAAACGUUUUUUCCGCGAAGCGAUGGCUCUGGUGCUGCAUUCUUGGAAGACUAACAAAAAUGCUUACAAGGCUUUCAUAGCUGCAGAAUACAAUGGUGUCAAACUUGACCUUUCCCCAGAUUUUACAAUGGGUGUAACCAAUAAGAGUCCUGAAUAUCUCAAAAUGAAUCCUAUUGGGAAG
rnacentral:misc_RNA from 1 species